rnacentral:rRNA from 1 species
CGGAGGAAGUAGGGGAUCGAAAGACCUUGCGCUAAAGGAGCGGCUGAUGUCUGAUUAGCUAGUUGGUGAGGUAAAGGCUUACCAAGGCGACGAUCAGUAGCUGGUCUGAGAGGACGACCAGCCACACUGGGACUGAGACACGGCCCAGACUCCUACGGGAGGCAGCAGUGGGGAAUUUUGGACAAUGGGCGAAAGCCUGAUCCAGCCAUGCCGCGUGAGUGAAGAAGGCCUUCGGGUUGUAAAGCUCCUUUAGUCGGAAAGAAAAAAUCAUGGUUAAUAGUCAUGAUUUAUGACGGUACCGACAGAAAAAGCACCGGCUAACUACGUGCCAGCAGCCGCGGUAAUACGUAGGGUGCGAGCGUUAAUCGGAAUUACUGGGCGUAAAGGGUGCGCAGGCGGCCUUGUAAGUCAGAUGUGAAAGCCCCGGGCUCAACCUGGGAAUUGCGUUUGAAACUACAAAGCUAG